UUUCCGUAGGUGAACCUGCGGAAGGAUCAUUACUGAGUGAGGGCCCCUCGGGGUCCAACCUCCCACCCGCGCUUAACGAACCUUGUUGCUUCGGCGGGCCCGCCUCACGGCCGCCGGGGGGCAUCUGCCCCCGGGCCCGCGCCCGCCGAAGCCACCUGUGAACGCUGUCUGAAGUAUGCAGUCUGAGACAAUUAUUAAAUUAAUUAAAACUUUCAACAACGGAUCUCUUGGUUCCG
rnacentral:misc_RNA from 1 species